UCUGGUGACCAUAGCGAGGUGGUCCCACUCCUUCCCAUCCCGAACAGGACAGUGAAACGCCUCAGCGCCGAUGAUAGUGCGGAUAGCCCGUGUGAAAGUAGGUCAUUGCCAGAC
rnacentral:rRNA from 1 species